UACGAAGGGGGCUAGCGUUGCUCGGAAUCACUGGGCGUAAAGGGUGCGUAGGCGGGUCUUUAAGUCGAGGGUGAAAUCCUGGAGCUCAACUCCAGAACUGCCUUUGAUACUGAAGAUCUUGAGUUCGGGAGAGGUGAGUGGAACUGCGAGUGUAGAGGUGAAAUUCGUAGAUAUUCGCAAGAACACCAGUGGCGAAGGCGGCUCACUGGCCCGAUACUGACGCUGAGGAGCGAAAGCAUGGGUAGCGAACAGG
rnacentral:rRNA from 1 species